rnacentral:lncRNA from 1 species
CUGCCGGGCCCGUGCAUCCAGGGAGGAGCCGGUCAGAAGGGCGUCCAGUGUGAGGACCUAGGACCGACGCCCCCUGCCCCCAGCUGCCCCCUGGGUCUGUAUUUCCUUGCGUCCCUUGUAAAUUAGAGGAGCCUGGGGACUGAGGGCCUCAGGAGAGGCCCUGCCAACUCCUCACCUGUCAGUGGGACCCGCAGCCCCCUCCCCAGGGAAGGCUGUGUGGAGACCCCGCUGGGGGCGGUGGGGG